rnacentral:sRNA from 2 species
AUCACUGCUAAUCUAUUGCUGCUAAUCUAUCACUGCUAAUCUAUCACUGCUAUUCUAUCACUGCUAUUCUAUCUACCACUGUCAAUCUAUCUAUCACUGCCAAUCUAUCUAUCACUGCUAAUUUAUCACUGCUAAUCUAUUGCUGCUAAUCUAUUGCUGCUAAUCUACUACUAUCAAUCUAUCUAUCACUGUCAAUCUAUCUAUUACUGUCAAUUUAUCUAUCACUGCUAAUCUAUCACUGUUAAUCUAUCUACCACUGUCAAUCUAUCUAUCACUGUUAAUCUAUCACUGCUAAUCUAUCACUGCUAAUCUAUCACUGCUAAUCUACCACUGUCAAUCUAUCUAUUACUGUCAAUCUAUCUAUCACUGCUAAUCUAUCACUGCUAAUCUAUUACUGCUAAUCUAUUACUGCUAAUCUAUUGCUGCUAAUCUAUCACUGCUAAUCUAUCACUGCUAAUCUAUCACUGCUAAUCUAUCACUGUCAAUCUAUCUACUACUAUCAAUCUAUCUACUACUGUCAAUCUAUCUAUCACUGCC